rnacentral:rRNA from 1 species
AUUGAACGCUGGCGGCAUGCUUUACACAUGCAAGUCGAACGGCAGCGCGGGCUUCGGCCUGGCGGCGAGUGGCGAACGGGUGAGUAAUGCAUCGGAACGUGCCCAGUAGUGGGGGAUAGCCCGGCGAAAGCCGGAUUAAUACCGCAUACGACCUGAGGGUGAAAGCGGGGGACCGAAAGGCCUCGCGCUAUUGGAGCGGCCGAUGUCGGAUUAGCUAGUUGGUGGGGUAAAGGCUUACCAAGGCGACGAUCCGUAGCUGGUCUGAGAGGACGACCAUCCACACUGGGACUGAGACACGGCCCAGACUCCUACGGGGGGCAGCAGUGGGGAAUUUUGGACAAUGGGGGCAACCCUGAUCCAGCCAUGCCGCGUGCGGGAAGAAGGCCUUCGGGUUGUAAACCGCUUUUGUUCGGGAAGAAAUCCUCUGGGCUAAUACCCCGGGGGGAUGACGGUACCGGAAGAAUAAGCACCGGCUAACUACGUG